UACGAAGGGGGCUAGCGUUGCUCGGAAUUACUGGGCGUAAAGCGCACGUAGGCGGCUUUCUAAGUCGGGGGUGAAAUCCUGGAGCUCAACUCCAGAACUGCCUUCGAUACUGGAGAGCUCGAGUCCGGGAGAGGUGAGUGGAACUGCGAGUGUAGAGGUGAAAUUCGUAGAUAUCGCAAGAACACCAGUGGCGAAGGCGGCUCACUGGCCCGGUACUGACGCUGAGGUGCGAAAGCGGUGGGGA
rnacentral:rRNA from 1 species